CCCUUAGAUGUUCUGGGCCGCACGCGUGCUACACUGAGUAAAUCAAUGGGUAAGGGAACACGAACGUGCAACCUAAUCUUGAAAUUUGCUCGUGAUGGGGAUCGACGGUUGCAAUUUUCCGUCGUGAACGAGGAAUACCUUGUAGGCGCGUGUCAUCAUCACGCGCCGAAUACGUCCCUGCCCUUUGUACACACCGCCCGUCGCUCCUACCGAUUGAGUGAUCCGGUGAGGCUCUGGGACCUGGACGGAAAGAGCGUUUCGCUUGUUCUGUUUGGGAAACUUGGUCGAACCUUAUCAUUUAGAGGAAGGAGAAGUCGUAACA
rnacentral:rRNA from 1 species